CUGCUCAAUGCUUAAAGUAAAUAGCCGCAGUAUUUUGACUGUGCUAAGGUAGCAUAAUCAUUAGUCUCUUAAUUAGAGGCUGGUAUGAAUGGUGAGACGAGAAAGAAACUGUCUCAAAAUAAAUUAUUAAAUUUCAUUUUUUGGUGAAAAAGCCAAAAUAUUUUUGAAGGACGAUCAGACCCUUUGGAGUUUUAUAGAAUAUUUAAAAUGAGUUUAUUUUAGAAAAUUGUUUUUGGUGUUUUAUUUCGUUGGGGCGACGAAGAGUUUAAAAGUAUCACUCUUUUUAUUUAACUAGUUUAAUAGAAUAAUUGAUCCUCAAAGUGAGAUUAAAAGACUAAGUUACCCUAGGGAUAACAGCGUAAUCUUUUUAGAGAGUUCUUAUCGAUAAAAAGGUUUGCGACCUCGAUGUUGGAUUAAGAGAUUAGCAAGGUGCAGAAGUUUUGUUGGAAAGUCUGUUCGACUUU
rnacentral:rRNA from 1 species